GUGUACAUGGUAUCAUUGUGGAACACAAUUUAUGUCUUCUGAUCAAGAAGUUCAGACAUAUUAUUCAAUAUUCAGUGUCUCUGGAGUUGGACUUUGGACAAAUGGUUCCAUCUCCAGAGCUUCAAUUUGGUGAUAGAGGAGACCACGUCUGUGAACCACUAUGAGGGAAUCUGCUGCUUUGUAUGUUAUGGCCAAGGGGCAGUGUCCAAAAGCAGCAAGAACUCUUGAAAGAGGAAUGUUUUCACAGCGAUGUAAGAAAUAAAAACUAUCAAAAUCCAGAGGCAGAAUCACAGAAUCAUCAAGGUUCAAAGAGAUCCUCAAAUCUUCUAGCCAACUGUCAGCCUAGCACCAGCAUCAUCACUCUUAAACCAUAUGCCCAAGAUCUAUGCCUCUUGAGCAUUUUGACAGAUGGUGACUCACCACCUCCUUG
rnacentral:lncRNA from 1 species